AUUGAACGCUGGCGGCAGGCCUAACACAUGCAAGUCGAGCGAGCGGCGGACGGGGGAGUAAUGUCUGGGAAACUGCCUGAUGGAGGGGGAUAACUACUGGAAACGGUAGCUAAUACCGCAUACCAUCAGAGGUGCCCAGAUGGGAUUAGCUAGAGGGUGGGGGAACGGCGCACCUAGGCGCCGCUCCCUAGCUGGUCUGAGAGGAUGACCAGCCACACUGGACCUGAGACACGGUCCAGACUCCGACGGGAGGCAGCAGUGGGGAAUAUUGCACAAGGGGCGCAAGCCUGAUGCAGCCAUGCCGCGUGUGUGAAGAAGGCCUUCGGGUUGUAAAGCACUUUCAGCGGGGAGGCGUUACCCGCAGAAGAAGCACCGGCUAACUCCGUGCCAGCAGCCGCGGUAAUAC
rnacentral:rRNA from 1 species